GUUUUUUCCUGCUCCUAAACAAUGCUAUAAUCAUGAUGUGCAGCUUCUUAAAACAGUGUUUCAUUCCUUACAGGUUUUUUAUCCUCUUCAUCACCAGAAAUAGUCCCCUUAACAAGAAACUCUUCCCUGUAUCUUGAAGAUCAGAUCUGAUGCAGUAAGGUAGGGUGACAGCUGUGAAGAGAAAUCAAAUAAUCUCUCUUGAGAUCAUGCAAAGACUCUGGAAAUACUAUCCCAGUGCGUCCUGGCUAUAACACUUUUGAUGUCCUCAUCAUUCUCCACAGUCCUACAAGCACUGACGGGUGGAUGCUGUGGGGGGGUCCAGGCAGCUCUGUGGAACAGUCUCCAAUGGGCUAGUAGGAUGAGAAGUUCCAGGGGUAGUUUGGGAAGCGAGGAGAAGCAUCACCUCCCAAGACGGUAAACCUACUGAAAAGGCUAUUCAAACUCCAGAAGGAC
rnacentral:lncRNA from 1 species